rnacentral:ncRNA from 2 species
GCUCGCGACACGGGGUGCUGCGCGCGGAUCGCGCAGCUGAGAUCACACCCGUCGAACCUGACGCAGGUAAUGCUGACGAAGGGAUGUCACGGCAUGUCGGC